GCCUGGUUGGCGUAGUGGUCGAAGCACUUGUCUGGUAAGCAGCAGGGCAUGGGUUCAAUCCCAACCAAGGCA
rfam:Asian citrus Psyllid, Diaphorina citri - Florida Strain, whole genome shotgun sequence.